UGUCCAGUGACACCUUAGAGACCAACUAAGUUUGUUCUUGGUAUAAACUUUGGUGUGCAUGAAAAACAAACUUAUACCAAGAACAAACUUAGUUGGUCUGUAAGGUGCCACUGGACA